rnacentral:ncRNA from 1 species
AAGAGCCGUGUGAUGGGAGACUAUCAAGCACGGUUCUGUGAGAGGCUGAGGGGGCAGUUCCCUCGGCCUACUCGAC